rnacentral:rRNA from 1 species
GUCAGAUGUGAAAGCCCCGGGCUUAACCUGGGAACUGCAUUUGAAACUGGUCAACUAGAGUAUGGUAGAGGAAAGUGGAAUUUCUGGUGUAGCGGUGAAAUGCGUAGAUAUCAGAAGGAACAUCAAUGGCGAAGGCAACUUUCUGGACCAAUACUGACGCUGAGGUACGAAAGCGUGGGUAGCAAACAGGAUUAGAUACCCUGGUAGUCCACGCCGUAAACGAUGAUAACUAGCCGUUGGGGGGAUUUACCCCUUAGUGGCGAAGCUAACGCGUUAAGUUAUCCGCCUGGGGAGUACGGCCGCAAGGUUAAAACUCAAAGGAAUUGACGGGGACCCGCACAAGCGGUGGAGCAUGUGGUUUAAUUCGAUGCAACGCGAAGAACCUUACCUGGUCUUGACAUCCUGAGAACUUUCUAGAAAUAGAUUGGUGCCUUCGGGAACUCAGUGACAGGUGCUGCAUGGCUGUCGUCAGCUCGUGUCGUGAGAUGUUGGGUUAAGUCCCGUAACGAGCGCAACCCCUAUCCUUAUUUGCCAGCACAUCAUGGUGGGAACUAUAAGGAGACUGCCGGUGAUAAACCGGAGGAAGGCGGGGACGACGUCAAGUCAUCAUGGCCCUUACGACCAGGGCUACACACGUGCUACAAUGGGAAGGACAAAGAGCCGCGAAGCCGCGAGGUGUAGCUAAUCUCAGAAACCUUUUCGUAGUCCGGAUUGGAGUCUGCAACUCGACUCCAUGAAGUCGGAAUCGCUAGUAAUCGUAGAUCAGAAUGCUACGGUGAAUACGUUCCCGGGUCUUGUACACACCGCCCGUCAUACCAUGGGAGUGGGUUGCACCAGAAGUGGCUAGUCUAACUUUAUUGAGGACGGUCACCACGGUGUGAUUCAUGACUGGGGUAAAGUCGUAACAAGGUAGCCCUACCGGAAGGUGGGGCUG